rnacentral:lncRNA from 1 species
UUUAAAGACCUUAAAACCCUUUUCUUCUAGCCAUGAAAUAAUUCAGGCUUAAUUCGGAGCAGAAAGAGCUGCACUGGUUAGCAGGUGUGAAGAUGUACCAAGGAUGAAAGCUCCAGCAGACAAAGCAACAGAAGUUUUAAAAGGGCUACCACUACAGGAAGAAAAACAAAAUCAGGACAUUCCUGACUUAUAUAAGUAACUUAUACAUGGACAAAGGUAUCAAACCUUAGAUUCGUACUUCAGGACUAGGAUUUUCAUAAUCCCCUCAAAAUUUAAAAUCCUAAUUAAGAAUGAAAGCAGUAAGGAGAUAAGAUCUGAUGCCCAAAGGAUUCUUGAAAAAAAGUGCUUUCAUAGAGAGAAGAAAAUAAACCAUGAAGAGUAUUAUAGCUCAGCUCAAGCAUUUUUACAGCUGAUAGACACUUUUACCAGCUUUCAAGACUCACAAGAGGAAAAAGAACACCCCAUGGAUACAUUAACCAUUAGCACCUAACCCUGGUACAAGUAAAAUUUCAGCAAACAAGGAAAAAAAUCAGGUAAAUGUCUAAGUUUGUGCUCUCUGGAAACAAUUUAUCAUCCUUGAACGAUGAUUUACACGCAAGUUUAGAAUGUGGGGUGGAAAGUUCAUAGGACACUAUCUUCACAGCAUGCCUUGUGACCCAUGUAUUUUUGAAGGAAUCCAUAUCAGACUGAAUGAAAUAUUCUUUAUGUAUUAAUAGUAAACCAAUGUUCCCAGUUAACUAGUGUCCUCCUGCCCACUGGGACUCCCCUCCACUUAAAUAGGGAUCUUCU